rnacentral:rRNA from 1 species
ACAGCAGCAGCCGCGGUAAUACGUAGGGCGCGAGCGUUACCCGGAUUUACUGGGCGUAAAGGGCGUGUAGGCGGCCUGGGGCGUCCCAUGUGAAAGGCCACGGCUCAACCGUGGAGGAGCGUGGGAUACGCUCAGGCUAGAGGGUGGGAGAGGGUGGUGGAAUUCCCGGAGUAGCGGUGAAAUGCGCAGAUACCGGGAGGAACGCCGAUGGCGAAGGCAGCCACCUGGUCCACUUCUGACGCUGAGGCGCGAAAGCGUGGGGAGCGAACAGGAUUAGAUACCCCAGUAGUCCCUGUCUCUUAUAC